GGAUAACUCGUCAAACAGUAGUAUAAAACGACAUGUUUAUGUAUAAAAUGUCAGAAAAACUACGAUGUCGCCUCAAUAUUACAAUCUCAGGUGAUAUUUGAUUUUUCUUCACAAAAUAGACCGUGUAUAACAGAAUCAAUAUCAUAUGGAUGUUGCACGUCUAUUCGUCCUGUUAUUGAUACUGACCACAGCACUUUGUAACCAUUCCACCAUUACAAGAUGCGCACGGACAAGAACUGGACGACUUGUGUGUAACAGAGUUGCAGUGGCGCAUAGGACAGCCACAGGAACGUCUACAUCAUCAAGGCGUUCACCUACUGGGAUUCAAAAUACGGGUUUUCUUGGUCGUUUUAGUGGUGGUUUCGGACCGAAUGCAAGAGUUGGAUCAGGAUUAUUUGCAAGUGAUAGAUUUGAACAAUCAUCGUUUGGAGGAGGUGGUGGUGGAUCUUCAGCGCCUAGAGGGAAUCUUUUGAAUAAUAAUCUGUUUUUUAGAAGACAAUUUGGUAGAGGACCUUUCCGAAGUAUACCAAACGGCCCACUUGCAAGUUGGUCCAGGUUGCCAUUUGGAUUUAUCUAAGAAGGAUAAGAAGCAAGUAUAAGAGAAGAGCAUUGAUAUCCAGUUUCAUACGAAGCACACAUUAAAGUGGUAUCUACAAAGGAAAGAUAAUACACAAAGACGACGAUAGCUGUAAAGAUCGUUGCAUCAGUGACAAAAGAACCGAAGAGAAACAAUACUUGAAGAGAUUCCGUGCAUGGGGGAGGGCCCUUUUCGACGACAGCUCUUUCCAAUAGCUCCGGACCGAUGCUAUUUAUUAUCUGACACGGAAAACACUUGUUCUCAAUCUGUUUCGUAUUGUUAUCUAUUCAUCUGAUUCCACUGACCCUUCUCUGUUUUCGAUUCUAUAUUACGUUUUUUGUUUAUUUAUUUAUUGUUUGUUUUAAAUUACUUAGAUACUUGUAUGUAUCGUUUGUAUUUUUCCGUUUAGUUUAAUCACAAGAAGAUGAAGGAUAUAAAUCUAUGAAACAGCAACCGAUUUGUGAAUGACAACUAUUUAGAGGUCAACACAAAUCUUCAACAGAUGAAAUGAUUAUUUCUACAUGAAACUUAUUACUUUCCCAAAUUCUACAAAGUAUAACAUAUUUAAGAAUAUCUAAAAUUGUAAUUUAAAUAAACUAACAAUUACAAUAAUUUUGACAACAAUUGCUUUAUUUGAACACAGGCCCCAUUUGAUAAGUAUUCAAAAGGCAUGAAAUAAUUUACAGCUUGAUACUGAUUUAAACCAAUGAAUUUAUCUUGAUAUGAUAACUAUGCCUCCAUUGAGUUCAGGGUUCUGUUUUUUGAAAUAUCAUAGGACUAAACUAUCAAUUAAAAAAAAAACUUUAAACCAUGGCGUU